AAUCCUAGAGCAUGUAGACGAAUUAAACACUAAUGGGCUAAGUCUUUCCCAUUCCCACGUCCCAAAUUAUUCCAACAAAUAUUGUCCAAACAAACACUUAGAAGGUAAAGCAUCUGAAAUAAGUUGAGAACUAGAACAGGACAAAAUAAAAGAAAAUGUGGCUUUAAAGCAUAUUGAGAUACGCUAUUAUUUUACUAUCCCAUUCCUAUAGCACUAUUUUCACAAAUGCCACUCGACUACUAAAAGGCUGAACGAUUAAAUUAACGGGGAACCACAAUUCUUACAAAGAAUGCAACAAUUCUAGUCAUGGAAUGUGGACUCAAUUAAGAAAGAAAUAAGUCAAGCGUGAAACUAGCAUGAAUUCAAACUGACUUUAGACCUCAACUAAACUAUUAGCAUAUUCUAACAGAAAAGAAGAAACCAUCAGAAUGUGAUCCCCAAUCAGCGUAGUAACAAGAUGACAGGGAAAGAAUAUCAAACAAAGUUUUCGGAACUCGCUUCAGCUGAUACUGGCAGACUGAACUCAAAUAUUCACAACAAGCUCAAGAAAAAUACACUAAUAAUCCAUGGAUCGUUUGACAGUUGCAUAGCUGCACAAACCUCAAACAAAGCAUGUCAAAACCAAGCAAAUUUGAGUUUGAUUUACAUUCUUAAACUGAAAGGCUAGCCCGAUAAUGAAUGAAUAAUCACCAAAGUAGAUCUCAAAAACUUAUUUCAAGUUUAGACUUAGCAAACAAACGAGGAUCCUCUGAACUUGUUCCUAAACAUAUCAAGUAUAAAGCAGCUCGACACUAACUUUUACGGAAAGAUAAAAUUCGGUGCUAAUUGACACAAGAAUAGGCAGAGAACAUCAAAAGAUAAUUUCAAACUUCAUAUUUUCAAGUUUAAACUUAACAAAACAAGCAAAAAUAUUCAUGAACUGCAGUAACAUGCUCCAAGAAGGUUUGAACUUAAAUGCGACACCAAAAAUACUCCAAGAGAUUUACCCAACCCAGAAUCAAAUUCGACUCCAACUGAACAUAUUGAAACCAAGCAAAUUUCACAUUAAGAGACAUUUCAAACACACACAAAAUCAUAUCUGCAUAUGAAAGGAAAUUCACCUAGACUGAAAUCUAAUAAAAUUGCUUUUACUAAUAUUCGAGCUUGAUUACUUCACUUAACUAAAUAGAUGACUAGACUGUUCUAAACCAUUUAUCCUUAGGCUCUUAUUAUAAUUUAAAUCAACACCUGAAAAUAGAGAUGCGGAAAUUAGAAGUAACCUGAAUGCAAGAGACUUUGAUUAAUUUUGCUUAAAAUCAAAUAUAGGCGAAUCCGGCAAUGAAAGUCUGAAGAAGACAGCACCUACAAUGCAACAAGAUUCAAGAGCCACGAACUCGACCUUGAAUCAACACUUCGAUCAACCUCGAACCUCAAAUAAUCUCCCUUUCGGAAUUAAAACCAAAAGAAACAACUGGAAUUAGAAUUCAAGCUAACUCGAAAAUUGAAGCCUUUUUUUGUCGUGUAUGUAUUUUUCUUUUUCUUUUUGAUUUUUUUGACUUUUCUGGUGUUUGAAGAAAAACUGAAAGCAGAAUUCCAAAAAAUGAAGAAUCAGAAGAAGACCCCUUUUUUCUGAAACCCUAGCUUUUUUCAAAAAAAAAUUCUCUCUCUGAAUUCGUGUGUGUGUUUUUCUUCCUUGAAAAAUCUGAAAAUCAUCUUUAUCCCCCUCUCGAACCUUCUAUGCUUACUCUAGAAGAAAUCCGAAAAUCAUCUCUAAAAAUCUCAAAAACCUCCAAAAUCCAAAAUUCCCUUUGGAUGGACCGACUUUAGAUAAGUGAAAACCUAUGAUCAAAAUAUCUUUAUCCUUUAGCUCUCAUUUUUCCAAUAUUUGUCCAAGAGAGAAUAAGAAAUAUGAUAAUCACAUGCAGGAAUAUUCUUGUGUCAGAGUUUGUUAGGGUUUGGGUGACGUCGAGAAUGAGAGGGGGACCAUGGGCGAGUGGGUUCGGGUGAUCUCAUCCGAGUUUGGAAAAGAUUGGGUGGUAGACGGCGGCAUAAGGGAAGAGAAGGGUGGUGUGCGGCUAGGUUAGGAAGUUUAAGGUUUGGGUG
rnacentral:lncRNA from 1 species